rnacentral:sRNA from 1 species
AUAUAUAUCGAUGGUGCAUUAUUCUAGUCAUACUUGAGUUUAUGAGGGUGGGGCUAAAAAUCCACUAAAGGGCAUAUCGUUGAAGUUCUUUGAAUGUGCGCGAAACGCCAAGUUUGUGUGUGUUCAGGGAGUAAGAGAUUUGGGUAUUAUAUAAUGGCAUAUAUAAGAUUCCCUGAUUUCGCGGAGGCUUAAUUUAUGAUAAAUGUAUCUUUUUAUACAUAAUUUAAGAGUAACCUGUGAUGCGUGCCAAGACACAAAAAGCACAGAGUAGCCUGUCUUGAGUGAAUGUAUUGGGAUUAAAUUAUUAGUAAAACAUAGUUUUGGCCAAAUUAGUUUUACUGUACUUAUGAAAUUUCAUUUGCAAAAAGGACUAAUAAACUUGUAGAGUAUGUUAAGGAAAACUUCUAGAAUGUUUGCUUCCAUAGAAGCAUAGAGGUCUUUGGAUUAAGGUACAGAUUUAAGUGGCAAUCUGGUAUCUAUAAAAUAAAUUAUAGAUAUUUUCCUUAAACGGAAACGGCAAUAGCAGUAAUGCUAUGUGGAAAAUAGAGAAAUUCGACCAGACCUAAACUGUAAAAUUUACUUAGACUUUUACCAUCUCAAUUAAAA